rnacentral:rRNA from 1 species
UACAGAGGGGGCAAGCGUUGUUCGGAAUUACUGGGCGUAAAGGGCGCGUAGGCGGCCUGUUAAGUCGAACGUGAAAUCCCCGGGCUCAACCCGGGAACUGCGUCCGAUACUGGCAGGCUUGAAUCCGGGAGAGGGAUGCGGAAUUCCAGGUGUAGCGGUGAAAUGCGCAGAUAUCAGGAGGAACACCGGUGGCGAAGGCGGGUCUCUGGGCCGAUACUGACGCUGAGGCGCGAAAGCAUGGGGAGCGAACGGG